CGGGGUGUAGCGCAGUCUGGUAGCGCACUUGACUGGGGGUCAAGUGGUCGGAGGUUCAAAUCCUCUCACCCCGACCA
rnacentral:tRNA from 1 species